AUACGUAGGGGGCGAGCGUUGUCCGGAAUGAUUGGGCGUAAAGGGCGCGUAGGCGGCGCGGUAAGUCUGGAGUGAAAGUCCUGCUUUCAAGGUGGGAAUUGCUUUGGAUACUGCCGCGCUUGAGUGCAGGAGAGGUUAUCGGAAUUCCCGGUGUAGCGGUGAAAUGCGUAGAGAUCGGGAGGAACACCAGUGGCGAAGGCGGGUAACUGGACUGCAACUGACGCUGAGGCGCGAAAGUGUGGGGAGCAAACAGGAUUAGAUACCCUGGUAGUCCACACUGUAGACGAUGAAUGCUAGGUGUAAGAGGUAUCGACCCCUUUUGUGCCGGAGUCAACACAAUAAGCAUUCCGCCUGGGGAGUACGGCCGCAAGGUUGAAACUCAAAUGAAUUGACGGGG
rnacentral:rRNA from 1 species